rnacentral:rRNA from 1 species
ACUGCUCAGUAACACGUAGGAAUCUUCCCCUGUCUGGAGAAUAGCCCCGCGAAAGCGGGAGUAAUACUCCAUGGUCUCAUCUUUAUGGUGAGUAAAGGCUUCGGCCGGAGAGGGAUGAGCCUGCGGCCUAUCAGGUAGUUGGUGGGGUAAAUGCCUACCAAGCCUAUGACGGGUAGCUAAUCUGAGAGGAUGAUUAGCCAGAGGGGGACUGAGACACGGCCCCCACUCCUACGGGAGGCAGCAAUCAGGAAUAGUCGGCAAUGGACGAAAGUCUGACCGCGCGACACCGCGUGAGGGAUGAAGUUCGAAAGAGCGUAAACCUCUGUGGUAGGGAAAGAAAUCUCGCAAGAGAUUGACGGUACCCUACUAGAAAGCAGCCGCUACUGCGUGCCAGAAGCGUCGGUAAUACGUGGGCUGCGAGCAUUAUCCGGUUUUAUUGGGUGUAAAGGUCGCGUAGGUGGCCUAAAAAGUAUCUUUCAAAUCUCCCUGCUCAACGGGGAAUCGGGGGAUAAUACUAUUAGGCUAGAGUUUUCUUAAGGGGGAUUGGAACUGAGAGAGGAGUAGUGAAAUGCGUUGAUACUCUCGGGAACACUAGUGGCGAAGGCGAAUCCCUGGAAGAAGACUGACACUGAGGCACGAAAGCUAGGGGAGCGAAGCAGAUUAGAGACCUGCGUAGUCCUAGCCCUAAACGAAUGCUUGCUAGCUGCAUGAUUUCCCUUCGGGGAUUUCGUGUGGCGAAGGUAACCCGUUAAGCAAGCCACCUGGGGAGUACGGCCGCAAGGCUAAAACUCAAAGGAAUUGGCGGGGGAGCAC